rnacentral:rRNA from 1 species
GACGAACGCUGGCGGCGUGCUUAACACAUGCAAGUCGAACGGAAAGGCCCUGCUUUUGUGGGGUGCUCGAGUGGCGAACGGGUGAGUAACACGUGAGUAACCUGCCCUUGACUUUGGGAUAACUUCAGGAAACUGGGGCUAAUACCGGAUAGGAGCUCCUGCUGCAUGGUGGGGGUUGGAAAGUUUCGGCGGUUGGGGAUGGACUCGCGGCUUAUCAGCUUGUUGGUGUGGUAGUGGCUUACCAAGGCUUUGACGGGUAGCCGGCCUGAGAGGGUGACCGGCCACAUUGGGACUGAGAUACGGCCCAGACUCCUACGGGAGGCAGCAGUGGGGAAUAUUGCACAAUGGGCGGAAGCCUGAUGCAGCAACGCCGCGUGCGGGAUGACGGCCUUCGGGUUGUAAACCGCUUUCGCCUGUGACGAAGCGUGAGUGACGGUAAUGAGUAAAGAAGCACCGGCUAACUACGUG